rnacentral:rRNA from 1 species
UACGUAGGGCCCGAGCGUUAUCCGGAAUCAUUGGGCGUAAAGAGCGCGUAGGUGUUCUGAUGCGUCGGUCGUUAAAUCUCACUGCCUAACAGUGAGACCGCGAGCGAUACGAUCAGAAUUGAGUUUUUCAGGGGCAAGCAGAAUUCCUGGAGUAGGGGUGAAAUCCGUUGAUACCAGGAGGAAUACCAAUGGCGAAGGCAGCUUGCUGGGAAAUAACUGACACUGAGAGCGCGAAAGCGUGGGGAGCAAACGGG